GGCAAAUGUUAUGUAAAACUGUGCAAACAGAAUGUUUGUGUUCUAGUUCCAGGUCAUUUAGUGGGCAAAAAAAAAAAAAAAAGAGAGACAUUUUGUGUGAAAUAGUCAUGAAACGGCUUGUUAUUAUAUAAGGAUAGGAACUGCUAGAUCAGACUAAUGGUGACAUGCCCAGAACCAGAUGCUUCAAAGGAAAAUGCAAGACAUCCCAGCGUGGAUAAUUAUGAAAUAGCCUGACCAUGGGGGAAAUUUCUGCAUAAACGACUUUAGUCCUAAAAAGCUAUGUGUUUAUAUUUCUUCCAACAAGGUUUCAGUGUGAUUUCCCAUGGAUACAAGGCUUAUGCAACCAGUGCACUGCCCGGCUGUGCAAAUCUCUGCCUCCCUCCCUCUCUGUCCACUCUCCUGCCUCCAGCACCUCCUGAAUGCCUCUGAUCUCUGCCACCUGAAGCAGAGGAGAGGAGGUCUCACAAAUAGCCUACAGGUUUCAUGAAUAUAAGCUGUUCCUCAGUGAGGAGAGACGGGUAAUCGUGCCAGCUCAGGGCGAGCUUACACCUUAGAAACCACAUGGGAGAGGAUCUUACGAGUGCUCCAGCUGUGGGAAAAGCCUCGACUGUGGCUCUCCAUCAACAUGAGAUGCAAAUCCCAGACAAUACAUUUCCCAUUCAACAGCUGCAGAGUCCUCAGGACAGAGAUAUGGAGUGUCUUCAAAGCUUGGCUGUCUUCUCAAGGACAAGGGUCACCGUGAGCUGCCCUGUACCAAUCCAUUCCUCUUGCACUGCCCGUCCCACAUCUUCUACCAUUUGCUCAUAGCCUGCACAGCAGCUUGACUUGAGCAAAGCCUCCUUGGAGGAGAUCCAUGGUAGAGUCCUUGUGAUAGUGGCUGCACAGGACAGCGUUUGGAUAUUGGAACAGAAGUUAUGAUAGGAAAUACUGAUGUGGAAAGGUGGAUCUCCUAAAACAGAAAGAGGCAUGUAUAUGUUUCCCACAAAAUUCAGCUGCCAGUAUAACAUUGCUAAUGGGGGAAUUUAUUCGUAGAUAUUUUGGCAACUCCUCAAGGUAGUCUCAUUUCAAUUGCAAAUCUCUCUCUUUACUUUUCAUUAACACUUGUGCAAGGAAAGUAUUGUUCCUAGGAGCACGAUUGGGAAGGCACUAUGACACACCCAUCUGUGGGUUGCUUGGUCUUAAAAUAAAGUAAGUAAAAUGAAAUCAGUGUAUAUGUCAUCUGGAAGCCCAAAUGAUUUACAAGAUGAAUCAUCUGUCAGGGACAGUGAGGGCUGGCAACCAAUAUAUCAUGUCUCAGAUGGUGGAUUACAGAGUUCAACUGCUUAGCUUAACUGCAGACCACAAAUAUGUAAGAAAACGGAGAUCUGGAGCCUGAUUAUACAAGACAUUAAUUGAACAAGUUCAGAAAUUUACACUGUGUACGUUUCUCCUCUCUAUGACCUGAGCUGCAGUGUUCUUUCCGUUUCCUGGAGAUGUGGCUUUUAGUCGCUGAAGAAGAAGCAAUGAAAUGGAGGCCUGGGAGCCCGAGAAGAGGAGCAGCAAGGUCCUGUGAAUCCAAAGGGACAGAGGCUCUGCUAAAUUCAACAGAACCAGUGGCCGUUCUUACUGGUUUCUUGCUGAAAUGAUGCUCUGGGGAAUUUUGCUGGGUUUCUGUGAAGCUGGAGAGCGCUGUGUGUUUUUGACAGGACCUGAUAUUCUGAUGUAACACCAUGCUUCUCGGAGCAGCCAUAUCUGCACCCUAUUUUCUACACCUUUUCUCUGGAAUUUAGGCAUUCAUGUCCACGCACGCAUCUUACUUCACGUUCCAGUCUUCUCUGCCAUGUCUACAACACAUCCUUAACCCUCAUUUCCACACUGCCGCAUAAUCUACUGGAGGGGUGAUUUUUUUUGGCAUUUGGGAAUGGUGUUAACAAGGAUCAGAUGCUGCCAUUGUUUAUGAAAGAGCUAGGUUUCCUUUACCAGCUGUGGCAUGCGUCGGUAAAAAAAAUUCCGGCAGUGUGGGCAUUACAGUGGAGUUCUUGUGUUUAGCAGGUGAAAAGUCAAUGCUCUACCUGUAACGAGGUUUGCUCAUGGAAAACCCCUUGAAGUUGUUUUUAGCAGCGGGGCAUUAGUCACCCCCGGGCAGCUGCUGGCCGCUCGGCGCUUCUGGCUCGCGCCGUGCCGCGCGCGAGGGCUGUUUUGAAGGCUGCACAGUGUUAACGGUGACUCUUGCUUUGCCUCAGGUGUUAAGUUUAAGCACAUGGGUCCUGGUUAUUUUAGGAAAACAUGAGCUCAUGUUCCAGGCAGCCUUCCCUCCGGUGAGAAGUGGUGCGUUGCAGUCCUUUCCUGUGCACGGGGCCGGGGCCGGUAAUACCCUGCUUCUGGGAGGAACACUGUGUGCCUUGGGAUUUCUACCAGUUGGGUAGAUUGGGAGUCCUACUUGGGUUUUCUUUGGGGGUAUGGGGUAGUGGGACCAUGUAGCACCAUCACGGAACACCUCCAAAAGUAGCAUGAGAUGACACAAUGGCCACCCAAAUUGUCUUGUUGCACCCGGUGCCCUUGAGGGUGGUGACCUGCCCACACGGGGGUCUCGCUGGGGAACUGAGGGUGGGUUUGGAAAGUAUGAAGAGGCUGGUGAGGAUAUGGAUGGAAAGGCAAGCAUGGCUGAGGGCUGGGAAAGAGAUGCUUUCUGUGUCAGACAGAGAUCAGGCGAAGAGGAGACAGCGGAGAGGUGAGAUCAUGGAGCGAGGUUUGAGGAGUGGAAUCUAUGAGAGCAUCAAAAGCACCGUAUUAAGUCAUGCUGCAUGAAGGCUAAGGCGGCUCCUAAAAAAUGGGAAAACACAGGUGGUGAAGGAAGAAAUCAGUUUAAUAGACCUGAAAGCUGGCUUGCCCACAGAGACUCUGGCUCAGAGCAAUGAUUUUUGCCUGAUGAAUGCUUGCCCAUCUCCUCCACUCCGUGGCUUCCCCCCAUCUCCAGCACUGGACAAGCAGGGAGGGGACCCUCAGGCAUUGCUCAAGGAGGAUGCUGGAUUUUUCAGCUGGUGGACAAGGGCAAGGAAAGCCCAGUGAGGACAGGUCCUUCACCAGGUGCAGGGUUGGGGACCCAUGUAGGUGCAUGGCAGGAACCAGAGGAGGGGAACCACCAAAGGAUGCUCAGCUGUGUCCCUUCUCUGGGACCAGCCAUCCCUUUCCUUCCUCUGCAGCUCAGACAGAGUUCACAGAGAAGAAAGGCUGCUAAUACAGACUGUCGCCACUUUAUAAGCAAAUGUCUUGAAAUAAUACAUACUUAAAGCUUUUACUAAUGUCCUUAUCAUAUGGCGGUCUAGGAGCGUGCAUAGAUUGAAUCGGAUAAGCAGAUCUAGGAAAACUCUCUGACGGAGAAUUCGUUUAAAGGUAGCUCUGGGGGAAGAAUUUGAAAUUCAAUUUCUGUUAUAGUUUUGACAAAAAAA